rnacentral:rRNA from 1 species
UUAAAGAGUGCGUAAUAGCACACUAGUCGAGUCACACUGCGCCGAAAAUGUACCGGGGCAAAACAUAAUACCGAAGCUGUGUAUUGUCCUUAGGACAAUGGUAUGAGAGCGUUCUAAGGGCGUAGAAGCAUGAUCGUAAGGACCUGUGGAGCGCAGAGAAGUGAGAAUGCCGCUGUGAGUAGCGAAAGACGGGGGAGACUCACGUCCACCGAUUGACAAAGGUUUCCCGAGUACGGCUCGA